UACGUAGGGGGCAAGCGUUGUCCGGAAUCAUUGGGCGUAAAGAGCGUGUAGGCGGCCCGAUAAGUCCGCCGUGAAAGUCCAGGGCUCAACCCUGGAAUGCCGGUGGAAACUGUCGGGCUGGAGUCCGGAAGAGGCGAGUGGAAUUCCUGGGUGUAGCGGUGAAAUGCGCAGAUAUCAGGAGGAACACCAAUGGCGAAGGCAGCUCGCUGGGACGGUAACUGACGCUGGAGACGCGAAAGCGUGGGGAGCAAACAGG
rnacentral:rRNA from 1 species